AUUGAACGCUGGCGGCAGGCUUAACACAUGCAAGUCGAGCGGUAGCACAGGGGAGCUUGCUCCCUGGGUGACGAGCGGCGGACGGGUGAGUAAUGUCUGGGAAACUGCCUGAUGGAGGGGGAUAACUACUGGAAACGGUAGCUAAUACCGCAUAACGUCGCAAGACCAAAGAGGGGGACCUUCGGGCCUCUUGCCAUCAGAUGUGCCCAGAUGGGAUUAGCUAGUAGGUGGGGUAAUGGCUCACCUAGGCGACGAUCCCUAGCUGGUCUGAGAGGAUGACCAGCCACACUGGAACUGAGACACGGUCCAGACUCCUACGGGAGGCAGCAGUGGGGAAUAUUGCACAAUGGACGCAAGCCUGAUGCAGCCAUGCCGCGUGUGUGAAGAAGGCCUUCGGGUUGUAAAGCACUUUCAGCGAGGAGGAAGGUGGUGAGCUUAAUACGUUCAUCAAUUGACGUUACUCGCAGAAGAAGCACCGGCUAACUCCGUG
rnacentral:rRNA from 1 species